rnacentral:rRNA from 1 species
GAGAAGACUACAGGAUUCCCCUAGUAACGGCGAGUGAAGCGGGAAUAGCUCAAAUUUGAAAUCUCUCAUGGUAACAUGAGCGAAUUGUAGUUUGGAGAAGCGCUUUCUGAAAUGAGAUGCCGUCUAAGUUCUUUGGAACGAGACAUCAAAGAGGGUGAGAAUCCCGUAGUGGGCGGCAAUAUAUCUUGUUUCUAUACGGGGCGUUUUCGAAGAGUCGGGUUGUUUGGGAAUGCAGCCCAAAAUGGGUGGUAAAUUUCAUCUAAAGCUAAAUAUUGGCACGAGACCGAUAGCGAACAAGUACCGUGAGGGAAAGAUGAAAAGCACUUUGAAAAGAGAGUUAAAUAGCACGUGAAGCCGUUAAAAUGGAAACGAUUGAAGUCAGUAGUGCAUGCCUGAUAAUCAACUUGAUCAUGGUGAGAUUUGGAGUGGGAGGAAGAGGUGUGAAAGCAUCCUUUACUUGCUCGAAUAACCUUUGCUGUGGACGAGUGCACUUAUUGGGAUUUUUUUUUGCGGGUCAGCAUCGGUUCGGAUGGUGGGGUAAAUUAUAUGGGAAGGUAGCUGUUUGUCGCAAGACCGGCAGUGUUACAGCCUAUAUGACGAGACAUGAUCUGGACCGAGGAAUGAAAGAAAAAAAGCGUACGCCCUAUACGGGCUAGAGAGCGAUUACCAUGGUGUUGCUGGCUUUCGGUUACUGCGUAAAAAACAUGUGGCUGUUUGUCAAAUUUUGUGAUGCUAAAGGGAGGUCGUUAUUCAUACAUUGCGCUUUGGAUGCUGACGAAAUGGCUUUAACCGACCCGUCUUGAAACACGGACCAAGGAGCCUAACAUAUGCGCGAGUCUUAGGGUGGCAAACCCGA